rnacentral:rRNA from 1 species
GACGAACGCUGGCGGCGUGCUUAACACAUGCAAGUCGAACGGAAAGGCCCUGCUUUUGUGGUGUGCUCGAGUGGCGAACGGGUGAGUAACACGUGAGUAACCUGCCCUUGACUUUGGGAUAACUUCAGGAAACUGGGGCUAAUACCGGAUAGGAGCUCCUGCUGCAUGGUGGGGGUUGGAAAGUUUCGGCGGUUGGGGAUGGACUCGCGGCUUAUCAGCUUGUUGGUGGGGUAGUGGCUUACCAAGGCUUUGACGGGUAGCCGGCCUGAGAGGGUGACCGGGCACAUUGGGACUGAGAUACGGCCCAGACGCCUACGGGAGACAGAAGUGGGGAAUAUUGCACAAUGGGCGGAAGCCUGAGGCAGAAACGCCGCGUGCGGGAUGACGGCCUUCGGGUUGUAAACCGCUUUCGCCUGUGACGAAGCGUGAGUGACGGUAAUGGGUAAAGAAGCACCGGCUAACUACGUG